CGGCGGAGAUUGAGGAGGAGGAGGAAUAUAUGGAGGAGGGGAGGGAGAGGGACGGCGUCGUUUAUUGAAAGGCUUAGUAAUUAAGGUUUUGACUCGUCUGCUCACCUUCUUGAGUACCAUUUUGAUUUUUGCUUAACGCGGAAUGGAUGAUUGGAUAGACUUUUUCUCUGCCAGUUGUCAGAGUGGUUUAGCCAUGCAAGCAAUUAGUGAUUUGAUUAGUUUAUGAUUUAGUGAGGAAAGGAAGUUUAUGGAGCAGUUGAUUAGUGGGUGGGUUGUCGGUUGUCUUUAUAAGGGAAAAUGGAGAUGAAGAUAAUGAUGCAGAGGAAGAUGGAGUAAGGUUGGAUUGUAAGUGAAGAAGAUAGCUAUAAUGGAGAUGAGGAUAAGGAUGCAGAGGAAGAUGGAGUAAGGUUGGAUUGUAAGGGAAGAAGAUAGCUAUUGGGUUUUGAUUGUAAGUAAAUUGUUGGGUUUGUAUAUAAGGAGGAGUAGAGUGCUUCUGUAUCUUUGAAACCUGGGAAGGUAUAUAUACAAAGGGUGUUUGGAAAGGAAGAGAAUCAUCGAAUACUCUGUUUUUGUUUUCUUUUAGAGGGGACCCCCCUCCUCUACAAUGCGAGCGUGCUUCGCAUUGGUUCGAUGGUCCGAAAUCCUGUACAAAAUUUCAAGUUUGACGGUCUAACUUGUAUAAAAAUGACAUAAGCUUCAUCUCCAAGAAUUUCACCAAAUACAACAGUACAUAUUUCAUUGAAUAGUUUGCUAAUAUGCAUCAAACUUGCUUAAAAUUGGUCAGAAUGAACCAAUAUCACACAAGAGAGUCGCAUCACAUACUUGAAAGAAUAAUGGGGAAUUAU
rnacentral:lncRNA from 1 species